CGCUCUGCUCUAUGCUCAAACUUGAACUUGCCCUAAUAAUAAGACACGUGUCAAAUUUCCGGGUAUUUAGUAUUUACGUAAUUUAUGCAAUAAAUAACGUUAUCUGGGAUACGCGAGAAUAGUAGAAUUUAGAGAGACGCGUACAGUAGCGUAUAUCGUGGCUACUCAGUCUGUGUGCUGCGUCUUGCGAUAGAGAAACCCUAGAGAAAUCAGAGUUUACGGAGAAUAUCUGCAAUCGGCUGUGAUACUGGCGGUCAGGAGGAGGACAAGCAGCCCACGGACCAAGGAGCCACAUAAACUUGAAGGUCAAGGGCCAGGAGGUUGAUCGCUUUUGGUUUAUAGCCUGGAUUCUACUCCAUUGUGCUUGAAUCAGUUAGUGCAUUCAUAAUCCCUGUUUUCGUAGUUCUAAAUUUUGACUACUUUUUAAGUGUUCUUGCAUUUCAAAUUGUUGUGUAGAUGGUAAUAUUAUCGCAAUAGUGUCUUCUCUCUCAUUGAAUUUCAGUUCCUGUUUUACUUGAUUUUUUACUGAAAAUUAAAAUGAACUUUUCAAAUCCAAAUGUUAUUUCUCUUUUGUAUCCAUUUGAUAUUUAUUUAUUACAUGCCAAUGUAAUCUAAGUUUAUUCUUUACAUGUCUGUUAUUACAAUGCAACUUUAUAUUUACUUGGUUGAA